GUGAGGAAUAUUGGUCAAUGGGCGGGAGCCUGAACCAGUCAAGUCGCGUGAAGGAAGAAGGAUCUAUGGUUCGUAAACUUCUUUUGCAGGGGAAUAAAGUGCAGGACGUGUCCUGUUUUGUAUGUACCCUGAGAAUAAGGAUCGGCUAACUCCGUGCCAGCAGCCGCGGUAAUACGGAGGAUCCGAGCGUUAUCCGGAUUUAUUGGGUUUAAAGGGUGCGUAGGUGGUUUGAUAAGUCAGCGGUGAAAGUUUGCAGCUUAACUGUAAAAAUGCCGUUGAAACUGUCGGACUUGAGUGUAAAUGAGGUAGGCGGAAUGCGUGGUGUAGCGGUGAAAUGCAUAGAUAUCACGCAGAACUCCGAUUGCGAAGGCAGCUUACUAAGCUACAACUGACACUGAAGCACGAAAGCGUGGGGAUCAAACAGGAUUAGAUACCCUUGUAGUCC
rnacentral:rRNA from 1 species